ensembl:lncRNA
GCAGCCUUGGGAAGAAUUGCUGCAAACUGUCCAGGCCUCUAAGCCUGGCACACAGAACAACAGCUCUAUUGCCCCUCUGUGCUCUACCCUUGCUGAAAGGCUGGCUGCUGCAUAGUUUUGAGCGCAAUGCCCAAACACACUGGAGUCACUCGGGUCUCUGCACCUUUCUCCUUUCAGGAAUAACCUCACCUCUCCCACAACAGCCACCCUGCACGCUCUGCUGGGAAAGGCUGUCCGCUUUGUUUCGGUGAAAAAGCAGCACUGGAGCCCCCUCACAGCUCAGCACUACGAGGAGGAGGAGGAGGAGGAACCUGUGGGUAUACAGGGGUAUUGUUCAAGGGAAGUCACCCGCUGCAAGAUGCUUUCACACACAGCAUUGCUGGCGGCACGAGAGAGCUUGGAUGGUGCCCAGCCCUGAAAUGGGCACUGUCUGCACCCGCAGCACCCCUGGGCACACCAGCAGCCUCACACCAGCCAGCCCCUCACACCCCACCCCGCAGCCCCGACCAUGGCUCGUUGGCAGGCAUGGACAGGGCUCCGGUCACACUUCACCAAGCCCAGUGUCAACAUGCUCCCCCUCUCAGUCCUCCGUACGUGGAAAACGACUCCAUAUGAUGGGGAAAGGAAAGACUUUUUGCUUGUCCCUUUGAAUAACAUACGAGCAUGGAGGGAGACGCUGCCCAGCCCUAGCCGUGGCACAGCUCUCAGGAGUCAUUUUGGUUGUUGCACAUUGUUGCGUUUUCAGGCCGUGGAUGAUACUCUUUGGGAAACCUCCAACAUCAAGUCAACCAAGACAAUUACAAAACACAGUGCGUGGAUGAGACCUUCUCACUCACUUUCCUACAGCUAAAGAUAAAUUCCUCAUCCCUGGCAUGACAGGGCAGUUGAUGGCUUUGGUGAGAAUAAUUUAAGGCAACUGCCAUUUUAUACAAAGAAGAGAAGGAGGUUGAGUUGUAGAAAUUCGGCCUUUUUCUUGGUAGAUUGCAGAGGCCAGCCACAGCCUGGGAGCAGGGAGACUGGACAGGGGAUCUUCAGGUACUUUUGCUUAAGGUUCAUGUUUGCAGUGCAACCUUGGGAUCUCAAGUCCUUCUCAUAGGUGUUUCCAGGUGACUGAGAUUAAAUCCCCACCAAGGUCCAUGGUCUCAGUGAGCAGCAACGCCUGUCCCAGACACAGAUGAAUGGGAGAGUUAAGGGGGAGCAAAAUAUGCAGUUGACACAUAACCAUUGCUGUUUGCAUAGCUUUCAUCUCUGCAGGCUGAGUGGCAAUUAAUACACCAAUGAAAGCAGUGCCCAGCAGUUUCAUCCCCAAAAAAGAAAGCCUAAUACACCCACUGAAGCAUGAGAGGAGCACUUUGCUCAUGUGAAGCCCAAGGGUCAGGCUCAGCCCUGAUGUUGUUUUAGCCAUAGUUGAGCCCAAGGUGACAAAAAUCUUGUGCAAACUCACAACACAUUCCUGUCUCCAGAAUCCCCACAGCCACAAGAAACCCCACAGGAUUUUAUUCCACAGAACUCAAAUGCAAGCCCACACCCUAACUCAGGUGAAAGCACUUGAGCAAGCUCCAGUUUAACUUUAGUCAGAUACACACUGCAGCUCACACUGAUCGUUAGUAAUUCAAGCACGUAACAACAGCGGUGGAACUAGCACUGGUGCAAAUAGAUCUGAAAACUCCAGUUUCACAUUUUCUUUGUGCUUCUGCCUCUUGCUGGGCUGAGUGCCAAGAAAUAUUGCAACACACAAGAUAUCUGGCUUUUAAAGAGCAUAUCGAAAGUGUUUCUUGCAGCAUAUUUGCAGGAAACAUUUCAAUUUAGCAUCGCACGUUCUCACACUGGAACUCUCAUUCUUUGAACCACAUCCUUCCAACAGGGAAGGCAAAACUGCACUGCAGGACUGCAUUCAAUAAAAACAGCUCAAUUUUGAGGAAACCAAUAAAUAUCCACUGAAAUUACUCCACAGAUUUUGGAAUAGACAAGCGAUAACUGAGAAUCUCAACACCUAUUGAAUAAAUGCUCAUAUAUUUC